CACUUACCAGGUUUUGCUUAGGCACCUCAUCCUGGAUAUUCCAUUCCUGGGCAUCUUUUGACAAUCAAUCCUAUCAGGUUGCCCAGUAAUUUAUUGGCUUAGUGGCACUGACAGUCAUUCCAAUAGUAGCCUAUAGGAAGUAAGGUUUGAGUUCAUGUUUCCAGAGUUGAAAGUCUAGGGCAAUUUAACCCAUUUUUUCACACUUGUAAUUUUCAGAGAAGCAGACAUUAUUUGAACAAGAUUCUGGAUUCUGAAUUUCACAAAGAAGGUGCAAGGCUAUGAUUUUUUCUUCAAGUUUCAUCAAAUUUUUCUGCAUAAGAUGAAUGAAUGAAUAAGUUACUAACUAACUAACUAAAGACGCCCUCAUCAAGCAGCUUUUACUGGCUGAACCAAGUGUCCUAUGGCCUUCAUCAAGCUGCGCUCUCUCUGAGGUAACCAGAUUUUUUAUCCCAUUGAUAUGUUUUCCAAUUGAAACAGAGAAUCGGUCAGCAAGGAAGGCAUCCUAGAACCAUUCUAGGACCAUGCUAGGAGCCUAAACCUCAAAAAUUCAGGCAUGCCAACACUUCCAAGCUGGAUUUAAGGA
rnacentral:lncRNA from 1 species